CUCAACAUUUCAACAACUUCCAAUUGUUUAUUUUUCAAUUUUCAUUCUCUACAUGUCCUUACCUUGCCAUGCCCGAUUGAAUUCCAAAAUAAAAAUAGCCAAUGCCAUUAUACAAAAAGUACAUAUGUUUUGCAUAUGAUCCCAGAAAAUAUAUUUGUGAAGCUGACAAAUGAAUCUAAGUUGAAUUCAUAAAUACGGCAACGUUUUAAGGCUUCUAAUUGCUUAAGAAACUCACGUGCAGUUCAGCUGCUCUCAGCAGAAAUCAAAUGCAUCUAAACGACGUGUCUGAGGCGCGUUUUAGAUAAGCCACUUAAGUGACCACGUGAGGAAGCACAUGCGGGAGUCUGAAAUGAGUUCGUUAAGUUUGUUAUCCACGUGUUAACAAACUGAACGAUCUGGAAAUUCCUUCUUGGCCUCUGCAACAGAUUAUAAAAGCAGAGAAUGAGAGUCAGCAAAACAUGGUUCUAAGUGAGUCUUGUAGAGAGAGUUCUAGAGAGAGAAAGAGUGCAUCUUGUUCUCGAAUAGAAUCUUGUAAAGGCUCUGUGUAAGAUCUCCAUUGUAGAAUCAAUAAAAGCUCAUCAAAGACUUCUCCCGUGGAUGUAAACAGAGUGCUUUGUGCUCUGUUGAACCACGUAAUCUUUCUGGUUCUUGGUUGGUUUUAUCUUUUGAUUCUUGGUUCUUUCUGGUGCUUGGUUAAAUCUAAUUUGAUUACUUAAGCUGUGACAGAUUCUAUUCGAUCGUAAGCAUUGUGCAACUUGUGUUUGAUCUGAUCUAAGAAAUCUUGGGCAGUAACUAGUUUUGUUUAAGGUGAAAGAAUUGACAAGUUACUACAAUAUUGAAUUGAAUUAACAAUAUCUCCCCUAUCCUAUUCAUCACCAAAUCACAAACACAAUCUGAAUGUCAUUACUUUGUGCGGCUGACGACAACGAAUGAAAAAGGAGGCAGCAAGCCAACGAUUGCAACAACUGGAUCGAAAUUGACAGUGGUGCACCUAAACGAAACUGACAGCAGCUCAAGGAACGGCUAGAACUGCAACACCGAUGCACACAAAUGGAACUGACAGCUGCGGUGAUGUUCGGCUGUGUAUGUAUGAGAUUAAGUGCGUCUAUGCUCUGUUGUGUGUCGGGCGUGCUGUCUUGGCGUUGUGCUUGGCUGCUGCACUGUGGAGCACGAACACAAUUACACAAAGAAGAGGAAUUUGGAAUUUGGAAUUUAGGAUUUUUGUUUUGAUUCUGCCGAUUGGGUUUCUGAUUUCCGUUCAGGUUCAACUAAUAAGCUCAUAAUGUAAAUUAUAAAAAUUGUACCAAAGAUAUAUUUAUGAUUUUCCUUUUUACUUAAAAAUUGUACCAAAGAUAUAAACAAAAUAAAAAUUCUAUUACUAUAUUAAAACUUAUGAAAGUUGAGGGAUAUUAGUGAAAUAUCCCCACAUGUAGGUCCUCCCUAUGCAUGAGACGUGAGGUAAAUAUUAA
rnacentral:lncRNA from 1 species